UGUAGAGAGUUCCAGGCUAUACAAUGAGACCCUCUCUCAGAAAAAUAAAACAAAUAAGCAAAAGAAACUAAAAACAACAAAACCAAAACCUCAGAGCUGACCUGACCAAACUGACUUUAUAAGCAGCAAAACAACAAUCUUCCUGCCCCAGUGAAACCUGCAGUGUCGUUGGCGGAGGGAAGAAAGAGAAGAGAAAAGGUACAUCAUGUAACAUCAGUAUCGAUCAGCAGUAUUAAAAAGUGGAACAAACGCUGUGGAGAAACGGCUGACUGUGACUCAAGCCAGAAAUAGACAAGAAAGGUUCAAAACAUCUCGGGUGCCAGAAAAUAAGGAAGUGCUCAAAACUAAAAGAGAAGGGGGAAGAAAAUUGACGGGAGCACGCCAGAGGAACUCAGGAUGAAGUGAAGAGCCUGCAGUGGGGAGAUCUAGAAGCAUCGGAGCCAUAAAGUAAGGAAGCCUCAAUCAACCCAAGGUGCGCGU
rnacentral:lncRNA from 1 species